GGUGGGCACCGGCGCACGGGUGAGUAACGCGUGGGAACGUACCCUUCGGUGGGGGACGACAGCUGGAAACGGCUGCUAAUACCGCAUACGCCGGAGACGGGAAAGAUUUAUCGCCGAGGGAUCGGCCCGCGUUAGAUUAGCUUGUUGGUGAGGUAAUGGCUCACCAAGGCUACGAUCUAUAGCUGGUCUGAGAGGAUGAUCAGCCACACUGGGACUGAGACACGGCCCAGACUCCUACGGGAGGCAGCAGUGGGGAAUAUUGCGCAAUGGAGGAAACUCUGACGCAGCCAUGCCGCGUGUGUGAAGAAGGCCUUCGGGUUGUAAAGCACUUUCGACGGGGAAGAUGAUGACGGUACCCGUAGAAGAAGCCCCGGCUAACUUCGUGCCAGCAGCCGCGGUAAUACGAAGGGGGCAAGCGUUGUUCGGAAUUACUGGGCGUAAAGGGCGCGUAGGCGGAUGUAUCAGUCAGGGGUGAAAGCCAUGGGCUCAACCUGUGAACUGCCUUUGAUACUGUGCAUCUAGAGUCCGUGAGAGGAUGGCGGAAUACCCAGUGUAGAGGUGAAAUUCGUAGAUAUUGGGUAGAACACCAGUGGCGAAGGCGGCCAUCUGGCACGGAACUGACGCUGAGGCGCGAAAGCGUGGGGAGCAAA
rnacentral:rRNA from 1 species